AUUUUUUUGUGUGUUUUCAGGUUGCUGCAACAUCUGCACUAGCAUCUUCGAUCCUAUGAGCUGUCAGCCAUACAGGGAAGCCUGUCUAUCCACCUGCAAUCUGACUUCAAUGAUACAAUCCCACUCUCUGCAUACAAGAUUGAUGGCUUGCUGCUGUUGACUCCCAAGAGGUUCAUACAAGUGAGACAAAAUUAAGACCACUCACUCUAUGUGAUGGCAGCUGAAGCCCCACAAAACAUGAUCCUUCGUGUCAUCGAGGCAGACCGUGUUAGAAAAUUAAAACUCAGCUCCCG